AGCUCUGCGCAGUGGCGAUAUCUUAACCAAUGAGAUUUACUGAGGUGCGAUUAUUGCUAGUUUGAAAAAAUAGCCUAUUUAAUAGUGUAUCAUGUUUUCUACAAGGAAUUUGGAUCAGUUUUUAUCUGAUAAUUAUUUUAU